GGGGGAUAUUGCGCAAUGGGGGCAACCCUGACGCAGCAACGCCGCGUGAAGGAUGAAGGUUUUCGGAUUGUAAACUUCUUUUAUUAAGGACGAAACUUGACGGUACUUAAUGAAUAAGCUCCGGCUAACUACGUGCCAGCAGCCGCGGUAAUACGUAGGGAGCAAGCGUUGUCCGGAUUUACUGGGUGUAAAGGGUGCGUAGGCGGCUUUGCAAGUCAGAUGUGAAAUCUAUGGGCUCAACCCAUAAACUGCAUUUGAAACUGUAGAGCUUGAGUGAAGUAGAGGCAGGCGGAAUUCCCCGUGUAGCGGUGAAAUGCGUAGAGAUGGGGAGGAACACCAGUGGCGAAGGCGGCCUGCUGGGCUUUAACUGACGCUGAGGCACGAAAGCGUGGGUAGCAAACAGGAUUAGAUACCCUGGUAGUCCACGCUGUAAACGAUGAUUACUAGGUGUGGGGGGUCUGACCCCUUCCGUGCCGGAGUUAACACAAUAAGUAAUCCACCUGGGGAGUACGGCCGCAAGGUUGAAACUCAAAGGAAUUGACGGGGGCCCGCACAAGCAGUGGAGUAUGUGGUUUAAUUCGAAGCAACGCGAAGAACCUUACCAGGUCUUGACAUCCAACUAACGAAGUAGAGAUACAUUAGGUGCCCUUCGGGGAAAGUUGAGACAGGUGGUGCAUGGUUGUCGUCAGCUCGUGUCGUGAGAUGUUGGGUUAAGUCCCGCAACGAGCGCAACCCUUGCUAUUAGUUGCUACGCAAGAGCACUCUAAUAGGACUGCCGUUGACAAAACGGAGGAAGGUGGGGACGACGUCAAAUCAUCAUGCCCCUUAUGACCUGGGCUACACACGUACUACAAUGGAUGUUAACAGAGGGAAGCAAGACAGUGAUGUGGAGCAAACCCCUAAAAACAUUCUCAGUUCAGAUUGCAGGCUGCAACCCGCCUGCAUGAAGAUGGAAUUGCUAGUAAUCGCGGAUCAGCAUGCCGCGGUGAAUACGUUCCCG
rnacentral:rRNA from 1 species